UUUUACAGCCCAAAACAUAAGUAAAAUUCGGAAUAGGGCUUCCCUUCAUUUAUUUAUUGUGGCCCAAAUUGUUAAAAAGAAUUGGGCUCAAAAUUAAAUACUUCCACUCCCUUAGCCCAAGUAACUAAUUUAUUAGUCCAACAACAAGAAAGAAAAAAAAAAAUAAAUAAAACAAAACCCAUAUACUCCACCCCACUAUCGGUUUCUUCCUCUCUCAAACACUAUUCACACUUCUUCCCCAAAUUGCACAAAAAUUAGGAAAAAUCUCCUCUUCUCUCCGUCGAUCAGCCACCCCAUCGGCGCCGCCUCCGCUUCCGUUUUCGUCUCCGGCGGUGUUCCCUUCAUCCUCCUCAUCUCUCCCUUUCUCUUCUCUCCCUCUUCACCGUACGCCGCUGCCUUCUCUCUCUCUCUCCCGAUCGGUUCGCCGCCUCUCCGGCGGCGCCUGCUCCUCCCUCUCGUCCCUCUCUCCUCUCCUCUCCAUCUCUCUCUCUUCCCUUCUCUCCUCACAGUCACGCCGCCGUCCCCCCCUCUAUCUCUUUCUCGACCCGCCGCUGCGCGUGCACAGCCGGUGGCUUCGUCGCCCUCCUCCCGGAAGUCCGUCGUCUGCACGCAAUCCGUCUCUCUCCCGGUCGGCCUCUCUCUCGCGGUCAGUCCCUCUCUCUUCUCUUCUGCUCGUCGCACGCCGCCGCCGCUGUGAAUCCGUCGUCCUCGCGGGUCCGCCUCAGCCGACGUCGCCGAGAAUCUCUUCCCCCAGCCGCCGACGCCGAUUUCCGAGAGGAAAGAACCAAUUCAAGCUCGUGGCUGUCCGCGUUGAAGUACACGAUCUGCUUAGAAUAUAGGAUGUAUAGAUUAAAUUGUGUUGGACUUUUGUUGAAUGUAUCGGACAUUAAAAUUUUGAUUUUGGGAUCUUAUUUAUUUAUUUAAUUAAAUUUAUUAUAUUCA